rnacentral:rRNA from 1 species
GAUGAACGCUAGCGGCAGGCUUAACACAUGCAAGUCGAGGGGUAGAGGCUUUCGGGCCUUGAGACCGGCGCACGGGUGCGUAACGCGUAUGCAAUCUGCCUUGUACAAAGGGAUAGCCCAGAGAAAUUUGGAUUAAUACCUUAUAGUAUAUCGAUGUGGCAUCACAUUGUUAUUAAAGAUUUAUCGGUACAAGAUGAGCA